rnacentral:rRNA from 1 species
AGUGAACGCUGGCGGUAGGCCUAACACAUGCAAGUCGAACGGCAGCACAGGAGAGCUUGCUCUCUGGGUGGCGAGUGGCGGACGGGUGAGGAAUACAUCGGAAUCUACUUUUUCGUGGGGGAUAACGUAGGGAAACUUACGCUAAUACCGCAUACGACCUACGGGUGAAAGCAGGGGAUCUUCGGACCUUGCGCGAUUAAAUGAGCCGAUGUCGGAUUAGCUAGUUGGCGGGGUAAAGGCCCACCAAGGCGACGAUCCGUAGCUGGUCUGAGAGGAUGAUCAGCCACACUGGAACUGAGACACGGUCCAGGCUCCUACGGGAGGCAGCAGUGGGGAAUAUUGGACAAUGGGCGCAAGCCUGAUCCAGCCAUACCGCGUGGGUGAAGAAGGCCUUCGGGUUGUAAAGCCCUUUUGUUGGGAAAGAAAUCCAGCUGGUUAAUACCCGGUUGGGAUGACGGUACCCAAAGAAUAAGCACCGGCUAACUUCGUGCCAGCAGCCGCCGCAG